AGAUGCAUUACUUCAUGGUUGGACAAGUUUAUUUAUAUAGUACAUUUCAAACACAAAGGGCCUAAAACACUUGAUCAUAGGAGACAGCUACAUACAACAAGGGGAAGUAGGAGUGAAAGAAACCAUGAGGAUUGACUUCGGCCUGACUGCAGAAGUUUGAAGUUGUGUUGUCAUUCUGUAGGUCUAAGCUGGAUUUCUCUAUGACAAGAAUGAAUGUGUUUUCAAAUUCACCGCCAUCAUAUCCAAAUCGGGUUGGGGAUCUUUUUUCACAACAGGGCACAAUAGUGCUGAUUUUCAAAAAUCACAUUCAUUUUAGUAAUACAGAAAUCCAGCAUAGACCCAGAAUUCCUCUCCUGGACAUGAUGUAAACUACAGAAUUAUAUUUAAUUUCAGGUGUCUGCUGCCGGGGUGGGGAAUUGAGAGUCAAGCAGUUUCAUAAUUAUCCCACUCUAAUGCAGCUUUCAAGUUGUCUCAUUUUCCCAGCCGAGGCACUACAUGUAAUGAAUUUAAUAUAAUUUACAUGAAGUAAAGCAUGAAUAAAUAUUCUGGAUAGAAACUAAAGCAGCUGCAGCUACACAGCACCAACAUCUUAGCAAAACAAAUUUAGCAGUUCAGUAAAUAUUAACCCUUUGUUGGAACAAUAACAGCUAUUUAUGCUGUUUAAUCUGCUCUUCUGGUUUAAUAAAGUGAUCGCAAUAGCUGUUUCUGCAUUUAUUUGAUAUGUAAAGAACAUUUUCUAACAAAAUUUAACUUUAAUAAAAGUUUAGUUCCAGUUGUGUUCACUUUCAUGGGAGUGGGUGAGGUUAUAAGUUGUAUACGUUUUGGCCUCACUGUCUACCCCUGUCAUGUUGUGAAUGUAUUUUACAGUCAUUGCUGCUGGCGUGAGAUGAUCGAUCAAUCUAAUUAACAUGAGAAUAAAGGUGAUUGGCCGUUACAUUUGGGGGUUUGUAAAUGCUGUUAUAUCAGUUUUUUCAUUUCUAACCACAGAAUGCCUCUGUGUCAGUCACUUAAACCAGCUUUCUACUUCAGCAUGGUUGUUUACAUAGUGCUACUGCUCCAAUCAGUCUUCACAUUAAUUCAGUGAACUAACUUGAGGUAUUUAAGCAGUUUAGUUCCAUUAACUAUGGCUAGCCUAGUUUGUCCUUUAGUGGACAGUGCUAGGCUUGCUGGAAAGAUGGUGCAGUUACGUUCAUCCAUAAACAACUAAGUUCAACACUUCUCAAAAUAGUUGUAGCAUUUUAGACAGGGCAACACAGGACUCUUACCUGUGUGACAUUAGCACAGAAUAUGACAAACAGUGGCUAUGUGUCAGAAGACCUGUCACUCCAACUCAUCUGACCAAUAGAAACUCCCUCUUCUAAGACCUGCCCCCUGCUAAAAAAGUGGCAAAAGUCAAAAGUAAAAGAAAAAAUUUAGAAGCAAGUGUGAUUCUAGAAGUUAAAAAAAAAUCAGCAGACUUAAAAAAAAAAAAUCAGCAGAAAGUCUAAAAAGUCAGAAACAAUUGUGAAAAUGAAAUCGUAGUUAGAAAUUUACUAAACUAAAACUAUGUAGCUGCUAAUAAAAGUUGUUGGAUGUGUCAACCAGACUCUAACUGUAAAGAAGAUCGGCACGCAUUAUCAUGCAAACUGAUAAAUAAAUAUUGUUAAUUUAUCAGAGUGUCAUUUUAAUAGCUGAUUUACUUAAGUGAUUAAUCGACUUGACUGCAUAAUUCAAUCGUUUUAGAUGUAAAGUCAUUCAGAGAAGACUGGUGUGAAAUAGUGCCCUGCAGUGACACCACACAGAUGUUUGUGAUGUAGUGGUGAUGAUGGGAACCAGGUGUUGUAAUGUACAUGACCAUUACUUUUUUUUUUAUCUGAAUCAUCUAAUGAAUCUACACAUUUCUGAGUUUUUUUUCCAUGUAAUUUUGAUCAUUAACAUAGUGGUAUAUCCAAAAGCUACUUUUGCCUUACAAUGCCCUACUUUUCUGUAGUGUAUUUUUGAAAAAAAGCCAAAACACUGUAACAAAUAAAUCACUGAACAUUUUGAAUAAAAACUUCACUUUCUGUGA